rnacentral:tRNA from 1 species
UUAGAAAGAUAGGAAUUG